rnacentral:rRNA from 1 species
GACAGAGGAGGCGAGCGUUGUUCGGAAUCAUUGGGCUUAAAGCGGGUGUAGGCGGCUACGCAAGUGUUUUGUGAAAUCCCACGGCUCAACCGUGGAACUGCAGGGCAAACUGCGUGGCUUGAGGUCGGUAGAGGUGCCUGGAACUCUAGGUGGAGCGGUGAAAUGCGUAGAUAUCUAGAGGAACGCCGGAGGCGAAAGCGGGGCACUGGGCCGAUUCUGACGCUGAGACCCGAAAGCGUGGGUAG